UGAAAACGUUGUAGAGGAUGACGAGUAUUUUAUAUUUAUUUAUUUCAAAAAGAUUAGUCAAGAUAUGUAAGUGAAACGUUGAUUCGAAUUUGGAUAGAAUUUUAAUGCAUCUUUUCUCAGAGAAAUCGCAAAUAUGGCUAUUAUUCCUUACAUUAUUUCCCCAAUUUUAUAACGUUACUUGUAGUGUCAUUGCGUUACUAAUAAUUAAUCCGUUCAACUUAUAAUUAAAUUAUAAAUUUAUCCAAUUUUGAUGAGACUUCGUGUUUUGAAGGUUUUGUUUAUUUGUGUCUGCUUGACUUCACAAGAUCACGCAAACUUGACAGAAAUGCAUACAAAGAGCUGAGUUCAGUUCCAGGGGACCAGGGCCUCGCUAUGAUGAACCGCGCUAAACAUGCUGCUGAGCGUUGGUAUGAUCCUUAUUGGGAGAAUGGACAUUGGGUGUUCAAUAGAGUUAAGAUGCAGUCUACUGAACACCCAUUGGGACACUUUUUGCAAAAAGGGAAAUAUACGAAGCAUCACGACUGCAAUCAAAUUUGUUUAGGCAUUUAUGAAACCUACGGUGAGGUUUGCGCUCAACGCUUCGUGACUCGCAAACAUAGAUGGCGUUAUGAGUAUAAACAAUUCCACAACAUGUGUUAUUUGGAAUACGAAAAUUGUAAAGAGUUAAAUAUACGUUAUGGUUGGUAUCCAAUUCAUAAAGGCAACUGCCCUGAGUUUAAGAAAAUGACAAAAAAUCCCACAGACCCGUCAAAAGCGGCGAAAAGAGUAACAAAAUGGCUGAAGCGGAUCAAUGGAAAACAAAUUGGAGCCGGAAUUCCGGAUUCGUAUGAGUAAAUAUGAUGUGGAGCGAAUGAAUCUAUCUUUCACACCAAGUUGAUUUAGUCUAG